rnacentral:rRNA from 1 species
UACGAAGGGUGCAAGCGUUGUUCGGAUUUAUUGGGCGUAAAGCGCGCGUAGGCGGACCUGCAAGUCAGAUGUGAGAUCUCGAGGCUCAACCUCGAAACUGCGUCUGAAACUACAGGUCUAGAAUCUCGGAGGGGGAAGGGGAAUAUCGCAUGUAGGGGUAAAAUCCGUAGAUAUGCGAUGGAACACCAGAGGCGAAGGCGCCUUCCUGGACGAGUAUUGACGCUGAGGCGCGAAAGCGUGGGGAUCAAACAGGAUUAGAUACCCUGGUGGUCCACGCUGUAAACGAUGAACACUAGAUAUUGGAGGAUUUGACCCCUUCAGUGUCGCAGCUAACGCGUUAAGUGUUCCGCCUGGGAAGUACGGUCGCAAGACUAAA